rnacentral:rRNA from 1 species
AUUGAACGCUAGCGGGAUGCUUUACACAUGCAAGUCGAACGGCAGCGCGAGGUAAGCUUGCUUACCUUGGCGGCGAGUGGCGAACGGGUGAGUAAUGUAUCGGAACGCGCCCAGUAGCGGGGGAUAACUACUCGAAAGAGUGGCUAAUACCGCAUACGCCCUACGGGGAAAGGGGGGGAGUCUUAGGACCUCUCACUAUUGGAGCGGCCGAUAUCGGAUUAGCUAGUUGGUGGGGUAAAGGGCCUACCAAGGCGUCGAUCCGUAGCUGGUUUGAGAGGACGACCAGCCACACUGGGACUGAGACACGGCCCAG